CUCAUUGCUUCGGUAGGCUGG
rnacentral:miRNA from 1 species